rnacentral:rRNA from 1 species
UAGGGAAUCUUCGGCAAUGGGGGCAACCCUGACCGAGCAACGCCGCAUGAGUGAAGAAGGUUUUCGGAUCGUAAAGCUCUGUUGUAAGUCAAGAACGAGUGUGAGAGUGGAAAGUUCACACUGUGACGGUAGCUUACCAGAAAGGGACGGCUAACUACGUGCCAGCAGCCGCGGUAAUACGUAGGUCCCGAGCGUUGUCCGGAUUUAUUGGGCGUAAAGCGAGCGCAGGCGGUUUGAUAAGUCUGAAGUUAAAGGCUGUGGCUCAACCAUAGUUCGCUUUGGAAACUGUCAAACUUGAGUGCAGAAGGGGAGAGUGGAAUUCCAUGUGUAGCGGUGAAAUGCGUAGAUAUAUGGAGGAACACCGGUGGCGAAAGCGGCUCUCUGGUCUGUAACUGACGCUGAGGCUCGAAAGCGUGGGGAGCGAACAGGAUUAGAUACCCUGGUAGUCCACGCCGUANCGAUGAGUGCUAGGUGUUAGGUCCUUUCCGGGACUUAGUGNCGCAGCUAACGCAUUAAGCACUCCGCCUGGGGAGUACNACCGCAAGGNUG